CCAUGAGUUUCAUGCAACAAAUGGGAAGCAGCAGGGCCCGUCUGGCUAGUGCUCCAGUGAUGAAUUUUGUUGAACUAGGUAAAGCUUUAGAUGUCAGACAUGCUCUGAACUUUACUGCACAAGCAUUCGACAGCAUGGUUCUAUUAGUGACAGAGGGAUUUGGAGGUACAGGUACUGAAGGGUAAUGGAUUUGAAGGUUGCUAUAUCUUGAGUUGUCCCAUUGUCUUACUAAAUUCAGGAUUCAACCCAGGAGAGUGUACAGAAUAUGCAGGUUUGUAUUGUUUCCGGUGUAUGUUGGUGAUGCAUCGGAUGUCACUCAGUUUCUAGGAAAUUCAAGAUGGCAUCAAAGAAACAGACAAACAAGGAGAGAAAACUUAAACAAGAGAGAUGUAUGAGGAUGUCAGCAUCUCAUCAAACAUGUAUUGUGAGGACACCCUUCGUCCGACCUAAUCUUGACGAUCAUCCGUAGGUACACACAUACAUGUUCUUCCCUGCCGCCUCCUGGUUUAGUUCACAUGUCUUGAAUUACUUUGAUCCUUUUGGUAACAUCAAAUUGGGUUGCAUAGAAGUAACUGCUAACUGUGUUGACCUUUGUGAGAAAUCUACAGCAGCACUUCAAAACUCCCAGGCUGUUUUCAUCAGCAAGCUCACAGCUGACCACAUGAUGGAACUCGAUAAUACGACACUGUCCGAUGUACUUGAGAUUCCAAUGAAUACAUGUCGAAGCGAUGUGGUCAUCAGCAUGUAUGCUCUCAAUCUCCUGGUAGGGUAUUUUCUCUUAAACGAUGCUAUUGUCACAUGAUGCAUAUCAUGGUUUUGUUGCGUGGUCAUUUGACCUGCACAACACUUGUUGUUUCAAGGAUGCAGAAUGAUUCUUCAAUUUGGGGUGCCAACUAUGCUAGCUUUAUACUGCUGAAUGUAGGAGCUUAUUUUUUUUCUUUUUAGUUAUUCAAUGUUAUUGGGCGGGGCAUCUCAAUGAACUAUUCUUUCUGAUUCCUGGAGUUACAUGUGUGAUUGCUUAGACUCUUCUAAUAGUGUCAUAGUCUGGUUGGUUGCUUGGCUGAAAUAGUUUCUUACGGGCCUCGUUCUGGACCCGUUCCCACGUAUAUAGAAUAUAUUUUCUACUGGUUUCAUCAAACAAAAAAGUCAUAAACAUUAAAUAUUUAAAGUUUUUGUCUCGUUCAUACUUUCUAGAAUCUGAAACUGUACUGAAAUCAUCAUAGAAAUUCCGCAAGAAUAUUAAAGGCACCUGUGUCAUUCAUCCCUACUAGAUGAUGAAUGCUAUUGCUAAAAAAAAUUCUCAAAGAUGCCUCAUUUUCAUGAAGAAGAAAGCUCAAUAGACCAAAAUUCCAUAUCAUUUCUUCUUUCUUAAGGAAAACUGACUGCAGGCAGCAAUCACAGAUGUUCAGCCUAUUUUCAGUUGACAAUAUACUGAAUAAUUUGGCAGUGAACAAGUACAGAAAACGCUGUUAAGAAGCGAUAGUUUUGUACCUGAGUUUAUAAAAGAAAAUGUACCAAUUCGUGUUGAAAAUAUCUUAGGCAUCAAGUCCACCACGUUUGAGAUGUUCACAGAAACAUGUCAGUUUCAGGCUACAAUUCAGAAUUGUUUGCCACACUGUAACGUUUCAGGAAAUCAGAAACAUUUCCCAUGAUGUUAAUAUGUUGACUAGGGGCCUUUUGUAGCUACUUUAAUGAAAAUUGUAGUGCCACAGUGUCCUGCUGCAUAUAUUAAAUUGCAAAGGGAAAGUAAAAAAACUUAGGAUUUGGUUGUCUAUCUGAUCCAUCAGUAUGCAAGCAGGGGCCAUGUUGUCAAGGAACAGAGUUCAAAAACCAUCAAUCUCAGGAACACUCUGACCAUGUAUUUGAUUCUGUUGAAGACCCAAUAUAUGAUAAGAUGCUAUUUUCAUUUGCUAAGCAACCAUGAAAACGUUUCUGUCCAAUUCAUAAUUUAAAUUAGUCCAUGUGUGUCCUUUUAUCCAGUUAUUACAAUUUUACUCCGGUGUAUUCUUUUAUUUAGUUCUGUGAGGAAGAAGGGAUUACAUCGAUGUGUAAUGAGUUCUUUGUUCUACAACCAUACCUACAUGGGAUUAUAGUUCAGUUAGAGAUAUGAGAUUAUUUUCCUCUAGAAAUGAGCAUUAGCCCUCAGAACAGAAACGGACUGCACAACUAUGCUCCUACUUAAUUACGUAUUAUCAAUAUGUUCAUUAUUACAGUAAGUUUAGAAACUGCAUUUGUGUAUUUGUACCAAGCUUCCUUGCUCAUCACAUUCCGUGCCUACCAUGUUGUAUGUCGGAAAGCAGUGGUUUUGAUAUAGAGCUAUAGUUCAUCUAUAUGUUUCUGCUGCCUAUAUAUUAUUGAUGUGUUUCCCUCACCUGCUAUUUGAAUGACAUAAUCCUUCAGAUAUUUCCCAAAUUUUGUGUUAAAGCUAUCUGAAGAAUUAGCUCCUGCAAAAUAGAUCAUCCACGUGGUUGUUGUGAAUGUUUGUGGCACAAUCCAAAAUUCAUAAUGCACCAAAGUUAUUGUGGUGAUGAUCUGAUCUAAAGCUUUUAAAUAAUGGAUUGUACAAAUCAGCAUUCGAAUUUGUACUCAAGGUCAUGAUUCAACCCGAGAGAUGCAUCGUGUAUACUUGCCUAAGAUUGACGGAUGGGAUUGACAGCUGAGAUUUUUAUGUUAUACUAGGUAAUUGCCCGUGCGUUGCAACGGGAAUACACAGUUUAAACGAUGCCAUGGCAACCAAACUGGACUAUAAUGGAAGAAACCGCUACCAUAGUAGCGUCAACGGAUCGCUGUGGCACAAAAUUAUUAGUUCUUGGCCAUAUUCAUUUAGUUCCAUAUGUUAAUCACCCCUUCUUUCAAAUAUCAUGUAUAUCUAAAUAUACAAAAAGAUUGAGAAUUAUCAUAUCAAAAUGUCCCUGCAUAUGGUUAUAACAAUAUUCAAGAAACAAUGGUAUGUAAAUAUUAUCACAACAACCAUUUUUGUCCAUAGAUAACUCAGUUUUCUAUAUCUCUAACUUUUCCAUUGAAGAUGCAACCAGUACACACAAUUUCAUUGUAUACGCUCUGAAACCGAUUCAAGAAAUGAGCAAAACUAAAUCUCAAUCAUAUGAAGUUGAAAAUUAAGUUGAGGAAUGCUUUGGUACAAUCCCUUAAAAGGAUGUACGGAUAUUGAUGCAGAUUAGUAGUAUGAAUUAGAACUAAUCUAUUGGGUCACCAGGGCAAUAUGGUCAUAUCUCAUGGCCACAAAAUACUCCCAUCUGCGCUCCCAUUGUCAUCUAUGGUCAGUAUUAUUUUAUGGCUCACCUCACGAUUCCUCCUUUCGCUACAUCUUCUUCCUCUUGUAUUACUUUCAGGCUACCACACUUCUGCUAUUUGUCAUGGCUUGACGAGGCUGAUGCCGCUAAUUUGAUGAUACAAAAUAGCAACAGAGGUACACCUUGAUCCAUCAUUCAUCCACUCCAUUUCAGGUAGCAGUCAUGUAGUCAUCAAACGCGAGCGGAUUUUUUUCACCGCGUGCAUACAUGAUACAUCAAUUCAUCUUCACACACCUCUGUUCAUGUCCUUGCCACUGCCGCUGCGUGCUCCCCGCCUAUUGACACGACCCUGAGAGACAUGAGGGUGUCGGCGAUGGCGCUGACCAUAAACUUCCGCAGGGACGGACGAACAGAGCAUCGAGGUAGAGGAGCACGCUGAGGCGAUGGGCCAGAAGUUACCUCUGCCCGACGUGAGGUUCUGUCGGCAAUCGCUCGUUCUCCCUAGAGCCGAGCACGGUGCUUCACUGCAGCAAGUUGACCAUGACGCGGAUGAUUCCUUAAGUGGAGAUGUUCUUGAGCACGCCGACCGACAUCUGCAUUGCCGCCGUCGCCAUCCCGGACGACAACUUCCCCCGGAGGUCUGACACUGGAAAGGGUUUUGCACCGCCCCCUCUUCAAUCUACAGCCCUUCUCUGUACGGUGAAUCCUACUUUGUCUUCUCUCCCGUAAUUCUUAUCGUGGAAACAUCUCCACUUUAAAAUCAGGUCGGAGAAGGCAAGCAGCGUCCUCCACCCUGAAUUCUACUUUGCUUCGCCCUUAAAUCUCUCUCUCAAUUAAUUCCUUCCAUGAAAACACCUUAAAAAACUUCCUCCCAUGAAAAGAUCUCUCUCCCUAAAUUCCUCCCACAAAAAUCUCUCUCCUCUCUCUCAUGUACACCGUAGAAUGGGCGAGAUAAAAUAACAGAAUCAAAUUUGGUAGGUGGCGAGGGGAUUGAGUCCCGGUUUUGUUGGGGGAGAUUUUUUUCUGACAGCUGACCGUGCGAGGUGAAAAAACGGAAGGAGAGGGGAUUGAGUCCCGAUUUUGUGAGGGGAGAUUUUUUUCUGACCGCUGACCGUGCGACGUGAAAAAACGGAAGGAGGAACUGCAUCGUGGAGAGAAGGACCAAAACUUGACGUAAGAGGGGAGACGGAACCUUACAGGUCCUCUGAAAACUUUUGCCAGAGCAUGCAGCCAAACCAGGGCUAUCCGGGCUUCAGCUUCCUCCACACUGUCGGAAACUGGUAACUCAGAGUAUGUCGACAGAUACACUUAGCCUCUAAUGACUAUUCCGAAGGGACGUUGCAUGUUCCUAGAUGCAUAGAUUUUCAUUACACUGAGAUUUUUUUUAGGAAUAACAAUGAGAUUUAAGAUAUUAUUUUUUUCUGUAGAAUUCUCAAAUUGAAAUCCGAAUAAACCACCUUCAAAGGCCAACAUAGUGGCACUUAAAAUAUAAAAUAAAUGCUAAUCUGCACUGACGCUGCAAUCUGGUGCCCAAUCUUCUGGUGAUUUGGUCAAAGCUACAACCAAGGAAAGAAAUUUUACAUGCUAUAAGAACUAAGUUAUGAAUUUUGUGUUCCCAGGUCUAUAAUAUGCAUCCUUUGCCGGUUCCCUGCAAGCGCUUUCGACCAUGACCUCAAGUUCUGCAGCUAGGCCGUGAAUGUUUUGAUCCUUCUCACCCUACAUCGAUGAUGGCCCGACAGAAAUCAAGGAAGGAGAGAAGGAUGUUGUUGUCAUGGUCGUCGGAACGACUUGCCGUGGACGCAGUCAUGCACUGGAUGACAUCGACGGCUAGCCAUGGACGAGCAUCUCGCCGCCUCCGCAAAAUAUGGACGCAAGGGAUUCUGCUACUAACAUUUCAGAGUGUGUUGUGUUGCGGUGCUGUGACAUAUACACCUUCAGCGUGCGUAUAAUGUUGUCAGAUACUACUUUAGAUAAAUAACCACUGUAUUCUAUUGUAUGUGUAAUUGAAAUGUUCAUAUGUGUUUAACCAUCUGGCAAAGAGGCUCACUGGAUGUUUCUUACAAUAUUCUAUCUGUAAUAGACAUCUACGCAUGUAUUUAACCAUCUGGCAAAGAGGCUCAUUGGAUGUUUCAACA